rnacentral:rRNA from 1 species
UACGUAGGGUGCGAGCGUUGUCCGGAAUUAUUGGGCGUAAAGAGCUUGUAGGCGGUUUGUCGCGUCUGCUGUGAAAAUCCGGGGCUCAACCCCGGACUUGCAGUGGGUACGGGCAGACUAGAGUGUGGUAGGGGAGAAUGGAAUUCCUGGUGUAGCGGUGAAAUGCGCAGAUAUCAGGAGGAACACCGAUGGCGAAGGCAGGUCUCUGGGCCACUACUGACGCUGAGAAGCGAAAGCAUGGGGAGCGAACAGGAUUAGAUA